UACGUAGGCAGCAAGCGUUGUUCGGAAUUACUGGGCGUAAAGAGUGUGUAGGCGGUGCUCUAAGUUUGGUGUGAGAUCUCCCGGCUCAACUGGGAGGGUGCAUCGAAAACUGGAAUGCUAGAGGGUGGGAGAGGUAAGCGGAAUUCCUGGUGUAGCGGUGAAAUGCGUAGAUAUCAGGAGGAACACCUGUGGUGUAGACAGCUUACUGGACCACUUCUGACGCUGAGACACGAAAGCGUGGGUAGCAAACAGG
rnacentral:rRNA from 1 species